rnacentral:rRNA from 1 species
CCCUUAGAUGUCCUGGGCUGCACGCGUGCUACACUGAUGAAUUCAACGAGUUUAUCACCUUGGCCGAAAGGUCUGGGUAAUCUUUUGAAAUUUCAUCGUGCUGGGGAUAGACUAUUGCAAUUAUUGGUCUUCAACGAGGAAUUCCUAGUAGACGUAGUUCAUCAGACUGCAUCGAUUACGUCCCUGCCCUUUGUACACACCGCCCGUCGCUACUACCGAUUGAACGGUUUAGUGAGGGCCUCGGAUUGGUCUCGGCCCGCUCUUCACCGGGCGGCGCCGUUGGUCGAGAAGACGCUCGAACUUGAUCGUUUAGAGGAAGUAAAAGUCGUAACA